rnacentral:rRNA from 1 species
GAUGAACGCUGGCGGCGUGCUUAACACAUGCAAGUCGAACGGUGAAGCAGGAGCUUGCUCCUGUGGAUCAGUGGCGAACGGGUGAGUAACACGUGAGCAAUCUGCCCUGGACUCUGGGAUAAGCGUUGGAAACGACGUCUAAUACCGGAUACGAGGCGUGGGGGCAUCCCCAACGCCUGGAAAGAACUUCGGUCCAGGAUGAGCUCGCGGCCUAUCAGGUAGUUGGUGAGGUAACGGCUCACCAAGCCUACGACGGGUAGCCGGCCUGAGAGGGUGACCGGCCACACUGGGACUGAGACACGGCCCGGACUCCUACGGGAGGCAGCAGUGGGGAAUAUUGCACAAUGGGCGCAAGCCUGAUGCAGCAACGCCGCGUGAGGGACGACGGCCUUCGGGUUGUAAACCUCUUUUAGCAGGGAAGAAGCGAAAGUGACGGUACCUGCAGAAAAAGCACCGGCUAACUACGUGCCAGCCGCCGCGGUAAAAC